UGUGGGGCCGGGGAUGCAGCCCUGAUUA
rnacentral:piRNA from 1 species